GUUUGAAAUGGGUGGACUGAAUGGCAUAGCAACUCUGCGACAAAUUGAACUUAUCUCCCAGGAAGAGCCGCAGAAAAUGGACAAGGCCUUCACAGCUUUCGACGAGUGCAGCGGAAAAAAAUUUGACGACGAGUGUGUGACUGCCUACGAAACGUACAAAUGCGGCCAAGAGAAGGAGCCAAACAUGAUUUCCAGCAUUGUCAAUAAUAAUCUCGGCAAUGCGACAGUGUACGCCCCUCCAACUCCUUGUCUUCCUCGACGCCGGACUUGCUGGCUCUCGGAAAAUUUUCCUUGUCAAAUAAAU